CUGCAGCUUAUUAAGUCGACCAGUCUUGCUGCAGUGCGGUUCUGGUGUGCAAUGGCUGCAGACAGUGGCCAUGUCCGAAUAUCCAUACUAGCGCAGGGCUCGAGAUGUUGGAAGAAAAU